UUAAAAAGAAACAAAAGGAAGAGGAAACAAAGAAGAUGAAAGAUGAAAUAUUUCUGCUCAUAGAAGAUACUGCUGCAAGAAUUAGAAAGGCAGAACGUGGUGAAAAGCAGGGUCAAAUAGAGCGAGCCAUUAGAGAAAAGCGAGCAGUGGAAGAAGACCUUGAGAAGAUAUGCAGAGAAUACGGAGGACAU